rnacentral:rRNA from 1 species
CCGGGCAACCCGGUAUGGGUGGCGAGUGGCGAACGGGUGAGUAACGCGUAGGAAUCUGCCCAGUAGUGGGGGAUAACCCGGGGAAACCCGGGCUAAUACCGCAUACGCCCUUCGGGGAAAGCGGGGGACCGAAAGGCCUCGCGCUAUUGGAUGAGCCUGCGUCCGAUUAGCUAGUUGGUAGGGUAAUGGCCUACCAAGGCGACGAUCGGUAGCUGGUCUGAGAGGACGGCCAGCCACACUGGGACUGAGACACGGCCCAGACUCCUACGGGAGGCAGCAGUGGGGAAUUUUGGACAAUGGGGGAAACCCUGAUCCAGCGAUGCCGCGUGGGUGAAGAAGGCCUGCGGGUUGUAAAGCCCUUUUAGUGAGGACGAAAUACGUCGACCUAAUACGGUGGCGAGUUGACUUAACUCACAGAAAAAGCACCGGCUAACUCCGUGCCAGCAGCCGCGGUAAUAC